UCCUACGGGAGGCAGCAGUGGGGAAUAUUGGGCAAUGGGCGAAAGCCUGACCCAGCAACGCCGCGUGAAGGAAGAAGGCCUUCGGGUUGUAAACUUCUUUUAUCAGGGACGAAGGAAGUGACGGUACCUGAUGAAUAAGCCACGGCUAACUACGUGCCAGCAGCCGCGGUAAU
rnacentral:rRNA from 1 species